rnacentral:rRNA from 1 species
UACGUAGGGGGCAAGCGUUGUCCGGAUUUAUUGGGCGUAAAGAGCUCGUAGGCGGUUUGGUAAGUCAGGUGUGAAAUCUCCACGCUCAACGUGGAGGGGCCACCUGAUACUGCCAUGACUGGAGUCCGGUAGAGGAGUGUGGAAUUCCCGGUGUAGCGGUGAAAUGCGCAGAUAUCGUAAGGAAGACCAGUGGCGAAGGCGGGUCUCUGGACAGUUCCUGACGCUGAGGCACGAAAGCGUGGGGAGCAAACAGG